CAGGUGCCUGGAUUAUGUUUGCAGCAGAUUCAGCCUUGUUCAGCAGGCCAAGGACGGUACAAUCUGUUUUAGAGGAAACUAUUGAUGGAUGCAUUGGAUUGAAGAGGCAAGAUGCAUCAUUUCACCUGCUUGGGACUGGAUGCAAAAGUUGGACCAGGGCUGCCUGACCUGACCACCCCACUCCACCUGGGUAAGGAGUGCGUGUCCCUGUCCCCAGCCCUCAUCCCGAAGCGGCUGCUCCCGGGAGGGGACGGGUUGAGCUACGGGCGAACACCUGGAUCCUGGAAAUACCUGGAGUCCGGGAACGGUACCGCAGGACACAGUGCCCGAAGUCAGGGCAUUGUGAACUGCUCUGGGAAUAAAGGCACUGCAGAAAUACACU